UCUCUCAAAUCUUUAAAAACAAUAAAAAUUUUUUAAAAAGUUUUGUGGCUAUAUUGAAACACAAGUUAUGCUUUCAUCACAGCAGAUCUAUUGCAGUGGUGACAAUGAGACUUGUAACAUUU
rnacentral:snoRNA from 2 species